rnacentral:rRNA from 1 species
CAAUAGCGUAUGUUAAAGUUGUUGCGGUUAAAAAGCUCGUAGUUGGAUCUCGGCAGGCAGGGGGUGGUUCGCUCUUAGCGCUACUGCCCCAUUUGCCUGUGUGAUUGGCGGAGGUUUCGGGGUGCUCUUCGUUGAGUGACCCGGGGCGCCGUCAGGUUUACUUUGAAAAAAUUAGAGUGCUCAAAGCAGGCUUUUCACGCUUGAAUAUUCGUGCAUGGAAUAAUGGAAUAGGAACUCGUUUCUAUUUUGUUGGUUUUCGGAAAUCGAGUUAAUGAUUAAUAGGGACAAUUGGGGGCAUUAGUAUUCAGACGACAGAGGUGAAAUUCUUGGACCGUCUGAAGACUAACUACUGCGAAAGCAUUUGCCAAGAGUGUUUUCAUUAA